rnacentral:rRNA from 1 species
AUUGAACGCUGGCGGAAUGCUUUACACAUGCAAGUCGAGCGGCAGCGCGGGGGCAACCCUGGCGGCGAGCGGCGAACGGGUGAGUAAUACAUCGGAACGUGUCCUUAAGUGGGGGAUAGCUCGGCGAAAGCCGGAUUAAUACCGCAUAAGCUCUGAGGAGGAAAGCGGGGGCUCCGUAAGGACCUCGCGCUGUUGGAGCGGCCGAUGUCGGAUUAGCUAGUUGGUGGGGUAAAGGCCCACCAAGGCGACGAUCCGUAGCUGGUCUGAGAGGAUGAUCAGCCACACUGGAACUGAGACACGGUCCAGACUCCUACGGGAGGCAGCAGUGGGGAAUUUUGGACAAUGGGGGCAACCCUGAUCCAGCCAUUCCGCGUGAGUGAAGAA